rnacentral:rRNA from 1 species
AACGAACGCUGGCGGCGCGCCUAACACAUGCAAGUCGAACGAGAAUCCGGGGCAACCCGGUAGUAAAGUGGCAAACGGGUGAGGAAUACAUGGGUAACCUACCCUUGAGAAGGGAAUAACCCGCCGAAAGGUGAGCUAAUACCCUAUACGCUAUCUUUUUUUCGAAAGGAUAGGAAAGCCGGGUCGAGGACCUGGUACUCAAGGAGGGGCUCAUGUCCUAUCAGCUUGUUGGUGGGGUAACGGCCUACCAAGGCUACGACGGGUAGCUGGUCUGAGAGGAUGAUCAGCCACACUGGCACUGAGAUACGGGCCAGACUCCUACGGGAGGCAGCAGUGAGGAAUAUUGCGCAAUGGGCGAAAGCCUGACGCAGCGACGCCGCGUGGGUGAUGAAGGCC